rnacentral:lncRNA from 1 species
CACACAAAGCAACAUUCAUAUUCCCCCUCCAGCACAAGAGUUCUUCCUCUUCCAAGGAACCCAACAAAACACACAGAGUAAGAGAUGAACAUCCACUAGAGAAGCCAGUACGGGCCCAGAUGGACAGAGGCGUCCUGCUGAUGAUCUUGCUGGCGGCGGCGGCGAUGCUCCUGUGCCUCCCGUUGGUGCUGCCCCCGCUGCCGCCGCCGCCGGCCUUCCUGCUCUUCGUCCCUGUGGUGAUGAUGCUCCUGCUCUUCUCCCUGGCUCUCCUCCCCUCCACAAACUGCGAGUGCCCGUCUCAGUAUCAGUAGGAGAGAAUACACAAAGAGAGGUAUCUCCUGCUUGCUCUCAACCUUUUUAUUCUUGUCUAUGUACCCAUGCGGCUUCUCCUCGCUUUUAUUGGAUAUAACUCGAUAUAUGACAUGCUACCACACAACAUACAACAGUCAGGUCAGGUGGCUCUCAGGAGAACUUCUGCUCUGCCUUUCAAGCCCAGGCAUGCUUAUGUAGAAUACGAAGCAAUGCAUGCUAAUUAGCUAGUCAUUC